rnacentral:rRNA from 1 species
CCUACGGGAGGCAGCAGUGGGGAAUUUUGCGCAAUGGGGGAAACCCUGACGCAGCAACGCCGCGUGGAGGAUGAAGUCCCUUGGGACGUAAACUCCUUUCGACCGGGACGAUAAUGACGGUACCGGAAGAAGAAGCCCCGGCUAACUUCGUGCCAGCAGCCGCGGUAAUACGAGGGGGGCAAGCGUUGUUCGGAAUUAUUGGGCGUAAAGGGUGCGUAGGCGGUUUGGUAAGUCUUGUGUGAAAUCUUCGGGCUCAACUUGAAGUCUGCAUAAGAAACUGCCGGGCUUGAGUAUGGGAGAGGUGAGUGGAAUUUCCGGUGUAGCGGUGAAAUGCGUAGAUAUCGGAAGGAACACCUGUGGCGAAAGCGGCUCACUGGACCAUUACUGACACUGAGGCACGAAAGCUAGGGGAGCAAACAGGAUUAGAUACCCUGGUAG